ACUCCUACGGGAGGCAGCAGUCGAGAAUAUUGGUCAAUGGGGGAAACCCUGAACCAGCGACGCCGCGUGCUUGAAGAAGCCCUUCGGGGUGUAAAGAGCUUUUCUGGAGGAUGAAUCUUCGGAUGACAGUACUCCAGGAAUAAGGGGGUGCUAAUCACGUGCCAGCAGCCGCGGUAAUACGUGACCCCCAAGCGUUAUCCGGAUUUAUUGGGCGUAAAGAGUCUGUAGGCGGUCUGGAAGGUCUUUGGUUAAAGGCCCAGGGCUUAACCUUGGGAAUGCCAGAGAUACUGCCAGACUAGAGGGCGUUAGAGGCUGGAGGAACGGUCGGUGUAGGGGUGAAAUCCGUUGAUAUCGACCGGAACCCUAAAAGCGAAGGCAUCCAGCUGGGGCGACCCUGACGCUGAGAGACGAAAGCGUGGGGAGCAAAAAGGAUUAGAUACCCUUGUAGUCCACGCUGUAAACGAUGGACACUGGCUAUCUGAAGUGUCGACCCUUCAGGUGGCGAAGCUAACGCGUUAAGUGUCCCGCCUGGGAAGUACGGCGGCAACGCUAAAACUCAAAGGAAUAGACGGGGAUUCACACAAGCGGUGGACCAUGUGGCUCAAUUCGACAACAAACGAGGAACCUUACCAGGGCUUGACAGACUAGUGAAACCCUGACGAAAGUCAGGUCUACCCACAAGGACACUAGUCCAGGUGCUGCAUGGUUGUCGUCAGCAUGUACUUUGAAGCGCACGCUUAAAUGCGGUAACAUGCGCAACCCCUAUUGCUUGUUUUAUUAGUCAAGCGAGACUGCCCGGGAUGACCAGGAGGANNGUGGGGAUGACGCCCAANUCAGCAUGGCCCUUUGAUGCCCUGGGCUGCACACGUGGUACAAUGGGGCCGANAUGGGUUGCGAAAGGGUAACCUNNNCUAAUCCCAUCAAACNGNCCUCCCAGUUCGNAUUGAGGUCUGC
rnacentral:rRNA from 1 species